rnacentral:rRNA from 1 species
UACGUAGGCAGCAAGCGUUGUUCGGAGUUACUGGGCGUAAAGGGUGUGUAGGCGGUUCUUUAAGUUUGGUGUGAAAUCUCCCGGCUCAACUGGGAGGGUGCGCCGAAUACUGAGGGACUAGAGUGCGGGAGAGGAAAGUGGAAUUCCUGGUGUAGCGGUGAAAUGCGUAGAUAUCAGGAGGAACACCGGUGGUGUAGACGGCUUUCUGGACCGACACUGACGCUGAGACACGAAAGCGUGGGUAGCAAACAGG